rfam:Clostridium baratii str. Sullivan, complete genome.
AAAAUAAAUUUAAAAAAAGUUCGUAUAAUCCUUAAAAUACGGUUAAGGAGUUUCUACCAAGAACCAAUAAUUCUUGAUUACGAAGGAUACGUUUAAAAUA